GAGACCAGGUAGAGAGUGAGACGGAUUGUGACAAACAAGGAGGAAGACCACUACUGAAGGAUUUACUGAAAGGUUUGCAAUUUUUUUCUCUGUCACUUUUUGUCUAAAGAAUGAAGAGGAAGGUAUUUUAUUUUUGAGAGUAAAGCAAAUGGGUCCUUUAUUAAACUAAAUCAAUGUUUGUCUCAAAGUCUCCAGUUCCAUAUGAUCAAAUUCAAAUACAUUCAAAUUAAUAUAUAGCAUGUUUUAAGUAUUUUUAUAAGAAAAGAAAAAAAUCAUAAAAAGGUAUAGUAAAUCAGACUAAUUAAUUAAAUUAUGAUGACAUGUUCUUUUACAUAAAAUGGCCUUUAAACAUAUUAAAUAAUAAAGUAAAAAAUAUAAAAUGCAAUAUAAUAUGACAGUUGUUGCUGACACAGUGAGCUAUGUGACAAUUUUUUUUUUUAAAUAACUAAAAUAACAUCUACAUCUUAAGAGUGUGUGUUUGAUUGCAUUUUUAAUAUUUUAAUUCUAAUUCAGGCCUUUUUACAUGACAGACUAUAGGAUCUAUUGAUACUCUGUUUUAUGUUUAAGACGAAACUACCCAUAACAAACUGACGUGUUCAGGAAAUGAAAAGCAAAACAUGACAGGAGAAGGCUUAGAACCUUAUCAAAAAAUAAUAACCGAGUAUAUUUCAGAACCUUUAUCUCUGAAAGAAAAAUGUUAAAUUUUUUGGGUUCUGUUUAUUUUCUUUUUAAACAAUUUGUGGAAUACAGAAGAAGACCUUCAACACAACAAAUCAAAACACCUAUACACUCUAAAAAAUGCUGGGUUAUUUGUUUAACCCAACAGCUGGGUUGAGCCUGUUGGGUCAUUUUGUUGGGUUAUUUUCUUAGUGUUGGGUCAUUUUUUGAGUAACCCAAACGCUGGGUUACCAGUCUGGUCCAAUUGAGUGACAGUUGAGAGAGUAAACCCCUCCCACUCCUCUACGCAUCAGACAAACUUUACCUUCGCGGGCAUUUUGAUCCACUUCAUCUCGGAAAGUUGUUAUUCGGAGAAUAAAAGGUAUGUUUUACGAGUUUUUAAUGUAUAAAACUAUUACUGUAAAAAAAAUGCAAAAGUAUGCAAAAUUCGGCUGUUCGCAUUAGGUUUGAAAGUAACGUUACAAUCUAGCUUCGUUAGCUUUGGAUAGCUAGUCUGUAACGUUAUGCCCACGUUGUUCUAAUUUACAGCUUUUUAAUCAUUUAAACUUCAUUUUUGGUGAACAUUUCCUUUGAAAUGUGUGACUUGUGUGAGGAAUUUAGUUAAGUAACUUACGCAUCUUGAUAUUAGUUAAAGGUCGACGAGAGAGCUUCGUGUCAAAAGCAAACAUCCAGCUCAUUUUUUUUAUAAAUACCACUAAUGUUCAGUGACGGAACUUAGAUUUAAGAGUCUUUUAGACGAAAAUGUUGUUGUUAAGAACUCAAAUACGUGAUUUAUAUAUAAACAUAACGCCUCUUUGAGAUUUUGUUAAGACGCUGUCGGAGGUGUGAGCUUCAGGCUGUCAGCGGUCGUGUCUCCGUGGAGAGCAGCUCUAUCUCGGCCAUUGCUUCGGGAAUAGCCGCUGGCUCUUAUAACGUUAGUGGUUAACAAUGCGAUAUAGUUAAUUUUGGGUAUAUGAGACGAACAAUUGUUGCUCUUUUUAGACUUAUACUUAUUCCCGAGUGUGUCGAAUUAGUGAAGGGUUGUUUUAACGUUUAUAAUAUUUUUUUUAAGACUGUAUUUAACUUUCUGUACUAGAUCCCACUCUUCUUCUUUCCCCCACUGACAGGUUGCAGAAUAACAGCUAAUAUUAAUGGAUCAUUCUAUUCAAGAGAAUGUCAACUGGAACUUGGAUGUUUUCAUAACAGGCUUAAAGAUGAACAAAUUGAUAAAGAAACCCUCCUGCUGGACAUCCACUUCCAAAAGUGCACACCACACUGUUGUCUACAACUCCCAGGAAAAGAAUCCUCUUCAGUAAGACUGCUCAGUGGAUAUUUUAGGUUAAGCAGUGCUGAAACCGAAAGAACUAACACUAUUUAAAAUGUUUUGUGAGUUUAUAUGAAGAGGAAAGUUACGGUGUCCCUUUUUCACAUCCAUAACGCUUGUUUAUUUCUUUUUUUAUAGAAAACUUGUGCAUAGACUUAUAUUUUAUCAUAUAAAUGCGGUUCUAUCAACAAGGGUUUAGUAAAAUACUUUUUAUAGUGUUUUGAAGUGUUAAGUUGUCUAACUAUUUAUAUUUACUUGUGCCACUUUAAUAACCUUGUUAAAUGUAUAUGUUAAAAUCUAAACUAAUGUAAUUUAUUGAAGUUAAUUUUCUUUAAAUAUGUAUAAACAUACAUUUCAUCAAAGUGUUUUAUAUGCCAUUUUAUUGUUCAUUGAGCAUAACAUAUUGCAUGUUUUUAUGAAUUCCUUUUGUCUUGCAUUUUGAUCCUUAAUAAAACUAUUGAUUCUUACUGAUGCCUCGAGUAUUUCUCUGUGAUUUUGUUAUUAUUAUUUUUAAACAUUUCGGGUUUGUUUUAAACCAUCAAUGUAAUUUUUAAGCAAAAGUUGAUUUAAAUAAAACA